UAGUCCACGCCGUAAACGAUGUUCACUCGCUGUUGGCGAUAUACUGUCAGCGGCCAAGCGAAAGCAUUAAGUGAACCACCUGGGGAGUACGAUCGCAAGGUUGAAACUCAAAGGAAUUGACGGGGGCCCGCACAGGCGGUGGAGCAUGUGGAUUAAUUCGAUGAUACGCGAGGAACCUUACCAGGGCUUAAAUGGUAAUUGACCGUCGCCGAAAGGUGUCUUUCUUUUAGACAAUUAUCAAGGUGCUGUAUGGCUGUCGUCAGCUCGUGCCGUGAGGUGUUGGGUUAAGUCCCGCAACGAGCGCAACCCCUAUCUCUAGUUGCCAGCACAUAAUGGUGGGGACUCUAGAGACACUGCCUACGUAAGUAGUGAGGAAGGUGGGGACGACGUCAAGUCAUCAUGGGCCCUUACGUCCUGGGGCUUCACACGUGCUACAAUGGAUGGGUACAAAGAGCAGCCACUUGGGCAACAAGGGAGC
rnacentral:rRNA from 1 species